rnacentral:piRNA from 1 species
AAAUUAUCAGUCUUUGAGAGUUGGC